AAGCUUUUCUCGGCUACACAAUUUUUCUUUACGUUCUACUCAGAAAUCACACUCUCUUUCUGCAAAUCGGCGGCGAAAGAGAUCAAUCCUCUUCUCUCUAAGUUUUCAAGGUUCAACAUGGGUAAAGAAAAGUUUCACAUCAACAUUGUCGUCAUUGGACAUGUCGACUCCGGGAAAUCGACCACCACUGGUCACUUGAUCUACAAGCUAGGUGGUAUUGACAAGCGUGUGAUCGAGAGGUUCGAGAAGGAGGCUGCUGAGAUGAACAAGAGGUCCUUCAAGUACGCAUGGGUUUUGGACAAGCUUAAGGCCGAGCGUGAGCGUGGUAUCACCAUUGAUAUUGCCUUGUGGAAGUUUGAGACCACGAAGUACUACUGCACAGUCAUCGAUGCCCCUGGACAUCGUGAUUUCAUCAAGAACAUGAUUACUGGUACCUCACAGGCUGACUGUGCUGUCCUCAUCAUUGACUCCACCACUGGUGGUUUUGAGGCUGGUAUUUCCAAGGAUGGUCAGACUCGUGAGCAUGCUCUUCUUGCUUUCACUCUUGGAGUGAAGCAGAUGAUCUGUUGUUGUAACAAGAUGGAUGCCACCACCCCCAAGUACUCCAAGGGUAGGUACGAGGAAAUCGUGAAGGAGGUGUCUUCAUACCUCAAGAAGGUUGGAUACAACCCCGACAAAAUCCCAUUCGUUCCCAUCUCUGGUUUCGAGGGAGACAACAUGAUUGAGAGGUCAACCAACCUCGACUGGUACAAGGGCCCAACUCUUCUUGAGGCUCUUGACUUAAUCUCUGAGCCAAAGAGGCCCUCGGACAAGCCACUCCGUCUCCCACUUCACGAUGUCUACAAGAUUGGUGGUAUUGGAACGGUGCCCGUCGGUCGUGUUGAGACUGGUCUGAUCAAGCCUGGUAUGCUCGUCACUUUCGGACCAACUGGUCUGACCACUGAGGUUAAGUCCGUUGAGAUGGCACCACGAGUCUAUGCCCGAGGCUCUCCCCGGAGACAAUGUUGGGUUCAAUGUGAAGAAUGUUGCAGUCAAGGAUCUCAAGCGUGGGUUCGUUGCAUCGAACUCAAAGGAUGACCCUGCUAAGGAAGCUGCCAACUUCACUUCCCAGGUCAUCAUCAUGAACCACCCUGGUCAGAUUGGAAACGGUUAUGCACCAGUGCUCGACUGUCACACAUCCCACAUUGCUGUCAAGUUCAGGGAAAUCUUGACCAAGAUUGACAGGCGAUCGGGUAAGGAGAUUGAGAAGGAGCCCAAGUUCCUCAAGAAUGGUGAUGCCGGUAUGGUUAACAUGAUUCCGACCAAGCCCAUGGUGGUUGAGACUUUCUCAGAGUACCCUCCUUUGGGUCGUUUUGCCGUUCGUGACAUGCGUCAGACAGUUGCUGUUGGUGUUAUCAAGAGCGUUGAGAAGAAGGACCCAUCAGGCGCAAAAGUUACCAAGGCUGCUGCCAAGAAGGGAGCCAAGUGAAGAGGAUGUGUUUCGAUUUUGGUUUUCAUCUUUAGUUUUUGUUUUUGGUAUUUAUUAUGGACAAUUUUUUACUUUUUGUAUGGUCUGCAUAAGUUUGUUGUCACGUCAUCUAGCCUCAUUUAUGAGGAUAGUAGAGUAUUAAGCAAUAUGGUUUAACCUUAUUGCUUGAUGGGCGUGGUGAUAAUCUUUGUGUAUACCCUCCAAUCGUUUUUUACUUUUGAGUUUAUGAUGAGUUUCAGACAUUGGUUGCUUUAAAAAUCUUCGUAUUUCUGUUCGUUUC